UACGUAGGGGGCGAGCGUUUUCCGGAUUUAUUGGGCGUAAAGAGCUCGUAGGCGGUUUGGUAAGUCGGAUGUGAAAUCUCCAGGCUCAACCUGGAGGGGUCAUUCGAGACUGCCAUGACUAGAGUUCGGUAGAGGAGUGUGGAAUUCCUGGUGGAGCGGUGAAAUGCGCAGAUAUCAGGAGGAACACCCGUAGCGAAGGCGGCACUCUGGGCCGAUACUGACGCUGAGGAGCGAAAGCGUGGGGAGCGAACAGG
rnacentral:rRNA from 1 species